rnacentral:tRNA from 1 species
GGGCUCAUGGCGAAGCGGGAUCGCGAUUUAGUUUAGUACCUAGAUCUAGGAGUACGCAUCCGCAACACUCUUAACCGGCAUGAUCGGUGACGUUGGUUCGAAUCCAACUGAGUCCA